GCGUUGGUGGUGCAGCGGUUUAGUACAUGCUCCCGGGAAGAGUAAGAUUUGGGUCCGAAUCCCGUCUGACGCA